rnacentral:rRNA from 1 species
GACGAACGCUGGCGGCGUGCUUAACACAUGCAAGUCGAACGAUGAAGCUGGAGCUUGCUCCGGUGGAUUAGUGGCGAACGGGUGAGUAACACGUGAGCAAUCUGCCCUUGACUCUGGGAUAACUGCGGGAAACUGUAGCUAAUACCGGAUACUUUCCUCGGUGGGCAUCCACUGGGGAAGAAAGAAUUUCGGUCAAGGAUGAGCUCGCGACCUAUCAGCUUGUUGGUGAGGUAAUGGCUCACCAAGGCGACGACGGGUAGCCGGCCUGAGAGGGUGACCGGCCACACUGGGACUGAGACACGGCCCAG